rnacentral:rRNA from 1 species
UUGAACGCUGGCGGCAGGCCUAACACAUGCAAGUCGAACGGUAACAGGAAGCAGCUUGCUGUUUCGCUGACGAGUGGCGGACGGGUGAGUAAUGUCUGGGAAACUGCCUGAUGGAGGGGGAUAACUACUGGAAACGGUAGCUAAUACCGCAUAACGUCGCAAGACCAAAGAGGGGGACCUUCGGGCCUCUUGCCAUCGGAUGUGCCCAGAUGGGAUUAGCUAGUAGGUGGGGUAACGGCUCACCUAGGCGACGAUCCCUAGCUGGUCUGAGAGGAUGACCAGCCACACUGGAACUGAGACACGGUCCAGACUCCUACGGGAGGCAGCAGUGGGGAAUAUUGCACAAUGGGCGCAAGCCUGAUGCAGCCAUGCCGCGUGUAUGAAGAAGGCCUUCGGGUUGUAAAGUACUUUCAGCGGGGAGGAAGGGAGUAAAGUUAAUACCUUUGCUCAUUGACGUUACCCGCAGAAGAAGCACCGGCUAACUCCGUGCCAGCAGCCGCGGUAAUACGGAGGGUGCAAGCGUUAAUCGGAAUUACUGGGCGUAAAGCGCACGCAGGCGGUUUGUUAAGUCAGAUGUGAAAUCCCCGGGCUCAACCUGGGAACUGCAUCUGAUAAUGGCAAGCUUGAGUCUCGUAGAGGGGGGUAGAAUUCCAGGUGUAGCGGUGAAAUGCGUAGAGAUCUGGAGGAAUACCGGUGGCGAAGGCGGCCCCCUGGACGAAGACUGACGCUCAGGUGCGAAAGCGUGGGGAGCAAACAGGAUUAGAUACCCUGGUAGUCCACGCCGUAAACGAUGUCGACUUGGAGGUUGUGCCCUUGAGGCGUGGCUUCCGGAGCUAACGCGUUAAGUCGACCGCCUGGGGAGUACGGCCGCAAGGUUAAAACUCAAAUGAAUUGACGGGGGCCCGCACAAGCGGUGGAGCAUGUGGUUUAAUUCGAUGCAACGCGAAGAACCUUACCUGGUCUUGACAUCCACGGAAGUUUUCAGAGAUGAGAAUGUGCCUUCGGGAACCGUGAGACAGGUGCUGCAUGGCUGUCGUCAGCUCGUGUUGUGAAAUGUUGGGUUAAGUCCCGCAACGAGCGCAACCCUUAUCCUUUGUUGCCAGCGGUCCGGCCGGGAACUCAAAGGAGACUGCCAGUGAUAAACUGGAGGAAGGUGAGGAUGACGUCAAGUCAUCAUGGCCCUUACGACCAGGGCUACACACGUGCUACAAUGGCGCAUACAAAGAGAAGCGACCUCGCGAGAGCAAGCGGACCUCAUAAAGUGCGUCGUAGUCCGGAUUGGAGUCUGCAACUCGACUCCAUGAAGUCGGAAUCACUAGUAAUCGUGGAUCAGAAUGCCACGGUGAAUACGUUCCCGGGCCUUGUACACACCGCCCGUCACACCAUGGGAGUGGGUUGCAAAAGAAGUAGGUAGCUUAACCUUCGGGAGGGCGCUUACCACUUUGUGAUUCAUGACUGGGGUG